rnacentral:rRNA from 1 species
AUACGUAGGGGGCAAGCGUUAUCCGGAUUUACUGGGUGUAAAGGGCGCGUAGACGGAAGGCCAAGUCUGAUGUGAAAGCCCGCGGCUCAACUGCGGAACUGCAUUGGAAACUGGUCAUCUGGAGUACAGGAGAGGUAUGUGGAAUUCCUAGUGUAGCGGUGAAAUGCGUAGAUAUUAGGAAGAACACCAGUGGCGAAGGCGGAUUACUGGACGACAACUGACGGUGAGGCGCGAAAGCGUGGGGAGCAAACAGGAUUAGAUACCCUGGUAGUCCACGCUGUAAACGAUCAAUACUAGGUGUGCGGGGACUGACCCCCUGCGUGCCGCAGUUAACACAAUAAGUAUUGCACCUGGGGAGUACGAUCGCAAGGUUGAAACUCAAAUGAAUUGGCGGGG